ACUGGGAUGCUGCCUUGCACUUAGGGAAGGUUCACAUGCCUCAAGGAUCUCUCUCUCUCAGAUUUCUUGACUUUCCCUCAGUCUUCAGUAUAGUCCUCCUCUGUGCCUGGUGAAGACCUGUGGUAAAGUGCUGGCAGAGCUGCCGGCUUCCCCUUGAAGGAAUAGGAGUAGACCUGCUGAACUAUCACAUGAGAGAAGAGGCCCAAAAGCUUGCACACUACAGUCAAGCUGGCCCUUAAAGAGAUGGACCUAGAAGAUGCUGAGCCAGAUGUACUCAAUUACUUCUCCAAAAUUCAUCAAUUAGGAAUACAACAUGUUUAAGACCACAGAACAUCUGCAUAGGCUGUAAAUUUCGUUGAAUGAUGGAUGCAAAGAUGGAAGACAGAUGGAUAGAGGAAAAGACAGAAUCAGAUACUGGAUGAGUUAGUACUGCUGCCUGUGCUUCAGAGCUGUCUUAUUACCACAAGGCCGGCAAGCAUCAAUGUCCCCACAUCCCCCUCUGCCUCCCCCUGAAAUGUACCGAUUUAUAUGAAAAUUAAGAU
rnacentral:lncRNA from 1 species